AGUGCAGCCGAUGGGGAAGCCAAAACGAAAGCUCGGUCAACGAACGAAAAGAAAACGAAAAAUGUGCUGUGUGAGCGAUCCGAACCGAAUAUUGAAAGCACGAUUACGAUCUGGACAACAGGAGAGCGUGCGACCAGGAGAGCUUGGAGGUUGAACGGCGAACACAAUGAGAGAGAACGGGAGCAGGCAGAGCACCUUGAGCACGAGACUAAACGACAGUAGAAAGCUAAUAAAACGCUACAUCAUUGAAGUUCGUCUGACGAUCGUUUAUCAGUCAUUGCUCACAUGUUCGUUGACGUUCCAGACGCGCUCAAUGAUUACGUUCGAAUGUUUGCACUUAAUUAAGAUUGGAUUGUUUGUCGUAUGUGUGUUCCACGUAACGCUGGAGUGAAAGAGAGCUUAGUAACUGGAAGACAUGUGCGUGUGUACGCAUAAAGUAGAAGUUCUUUCAGUUUGGUUGGAUAUUGAAAGUAGUUUAAGGUUAUGAUUUUGAAAAGUUCUAAAAGGUUCUAUUUAUAGUGAAUCUAUAUUGAUGAUCGAAAUUUUCACAAUUUGGGAUACAACUAUUUUCGAAAGAAGCUUUUUUUCUGAACAGGAAACUUUUCUAUAUCUAUAUUUCCUUAAUACAUAUGUACACAUUGUAUUGUGUUGUAUUUCUUGAAUAUUCUAGAGCUUUUCAUUUUCAUUGUAGGGGUUCACAUUUGUUCAUUCAAAUUUUAAGAAAUUAGAUCAAUGACCUUUUUUCAUUGUCAUUGUAUUUUGUGUAAAGCUUGAAAUGGAAAUUGAAAUAUAUUUAUUCUCAUUAUCAAUUGUUGGACUUUAAAGUUGUUAAAUAUUCAAUACGGAAGCUUUGUUCUUUUGUUUUGUUGUUUUCGUGUGUUUUUAGCUACUCUAAAAUAUCAAAUUUGGGUUAUACCUAUAUAUGUAGUACCCAACAAUUUUAAAGAUCAAGAAACAGAGAAAGAAGAGAUUGGAUGAUUGAUGGACCUUUCGAUUAAAAAGGGAAAGUUUUUUGUUUUUAGUAAUUUGACACAAGAGAGAUGAACUUUGUGAGGUUUUGGAUAAUAAGUGUUUUAUAGAUCAUUGAUAAUACAUAUUAAACGAGCUUAUACUCUUUCCAAAGUUAA